GUGAGGAAUAUUGCGCAAUGGAGGCAACUCUGACGCAGCCAUGCCGCGUGCAGGAAGAAGGCGCUACGCGUUGUAAACUGCUUUUAACCGGGAAGAAACCCCAGGACGUGUCCUGGGUUGACGGUACCGGAGGAAUAAGCACCGGCUAACUUCGUGCCAGCAGCCGCGGUAAUACGAAGGGUGCAAGCGUUAUCCGGAUUCAUUGGGUUUAAAGGGUGCGUAGGCGGAGCGUUAAGUCAGUGGUGAAAGCCUGCAGCUUAACUGUAGACUUGCCAUUGAUACUGGCGCUCUUGAGUGCGCUUGAAGUGGGCGGAAUGUGCCGUGUAGCGGUGAAAUGCUUAGAUAUGGCACAGAACACCAAUUGCGAAGGCAGCUCACUAAGGCGAUACUGACGCUGAGGCACGAAAGCGUGGGGAUCGAACAGGAUUAGAAACCCUUGUAGUCC
rnacentral:rRNA from 1 species